rnacentral:lncRNA from 1 species
GAUCAUGUUUAAGUACAGAAGGUUCUUGAACUUUCAUUGAUGCAGUGGCUCUUCGCUUUGUUGACAAUGAAAUGUUCUACACUUUCUUUAAAAACAAAUGGUUUAAAAACUACCACACUUAACUGAAAAAAAAGCAAAAACAAAAAGUAAAUACUUUUCAAGCCAGCUGACCACCUUUUGUUCACAGCUAGGAAUGGUAGCAGAAUGCUAUGUGGUUAGAUACAGAAACAAGACAACCUGAAGCUAAAUGGAUGCCCAGUGCAUAGUCAACAGGCCCAGCCUCACAGUGCACAGCCUGAGCUACGGCCACUCCCAGAGGCAUCUUCUACCACAGCCUCAACAUCAAGCAAAGAGCAUCAAGAGUUUGUCUUGGUUGUUUUGUUCGUUUUACAAACUAUGGAUAUAUGCAAUUGAUAACUCAGGAUUUCUAGCUAAUAACCAUGUAGUUAACACUACCUUACAAAUUAAAAAAAAAAAAAUGCCAGAAGCACCUUUAAAUGCCUUAUCACACUAACAGCAAAGCACACAGAGUGAGGAGAGCAUGAAGUUGCCUUUUCAUUUUAAAAAUAUUUGGAAAUAUGUACAACUUUGAUAUAGUUUCAGGGUGCUCUAGACCCACUUGACCACUUCAUGUAAAGAGUUUCUAGUUUGAGAAACAACAAUAUGAUCAUAAUCAAACUUUGUAAUUAAAACUAAUGAGGGCAACAGAUACUUCUCAAAUAAGAGAUGUGUCAAUUACAGCUCUCCCCUACUUCAAGGCAGGUGUCCCCAACCCCUGGGCCAUAGAUAGAUACCAGUCAGUGGCCUGUUAGGAACCAGGCCACACAGCAGGAGGUGAGUGGCAAGUGAGCAAAGCUUCAUCUGUAUUUACAACCACUCCCCAUGGCUCACAUUACCAUCUGAGCUCCGCCUCCUGUCAGAUCAGCAGCAGCUCUCAUAGGAGAGCAAACCCUGUUGUAAACUGUGCAUACGAGGGAUCUAGUUUACCUGCUUCUUAUGAGAAUCUAACUAAUGCCUGAUGAUCUGUCACUGCCUCCCAUCACCCCCAGAAAGACUGUCUAGUUGAAGGAAAACAAGCUCUGGGCUCCCACUGAUUCUACGUUAUGAGGAAUUUCUCAAGAUUUUAUCUUUACUGAUUGAUUUCUAAGGGAUGCUACUUGCUUCUAACAUCAUGUUAAUCAGCAAUGUAAGCUCUGGCAUAGCUUACCAACCCUAAGAGUGGCAGGGAGUUGCUCUGUGUAAUGGUGGAGUACUCAGCUGUCUUCUCCAUGGUGGUUGAGUUCUCUGGAUGGGAUCAGCUUUCUUCACAUGUCACUGAAGUGAAAGGGGACAAUUGAAACCUAUUUUGACAGGUUUAAAAGCUAAAGCCAAGCCAGGAAGAGGAAGACAAGAUGAGAAACCCCAAAUCAAGGUAAGAGAAGAAAAUAAGUGCAACAUGCCAGAAAUCCAGUAAAGCAGUUCAAGUAUCAGAAGAGCGUGAAUCAAAACCAAGUGCAAGAAGAGGCACCUUGACAUUGAACUGAAGGCCACCAGGUACUCACUGGGUCAAUGACUCUUCUCAUUUUUAUUCUCCUGCCAGUGCUUCCAAUCGCUGAACUGAACUGGGAACAAAUCAACAAGGGAAACCAAGAGAUGCAUUCCUUGAAGUUCAGCCUCCAGGCCUCAAGUAAGGCAGAGGAAGAGAAUACAUAGAUCUGUGGAGAAGAGUGGUGAUGGUGGGAGCUGCCAAUAAAGAACUAUCAAAAAAGGAUGAUGCAACAGAAAAGCCGUCACCAGAUACCAGCACCUUAAUGUUGGACUUCUCAGCCUCCAGAACUGUAAGAAAUAAAUCCCUGUUCUUUAUAAAUUACCCAGUCUCAGGUAUCCUGCUAUAGCAGCACAAAAUGGACUAUGAUAGAAAAUUGGUAUGAAGGAGUAGUACCAUUGUUAUAACAAAUACCUAAAAAUGGAAGCCACUCUGGAACUGGGUAAGGGGUAGAGUAUGGAAGAAUUUAGAGGAGCAGGCUAGAAAAAGCCUAAAUUGCUGUGUAUUACUCCAGGAUGGUAAGAAAUAAAUCUCUGUUCUUUAUAAAUUGCCCAGACUCACAGCACAAAACAAAUUAAGACAUUAAGAUUUGCCCCAUUCUUAGAAUUCAUUUCUUCCAUUUUCCCUUUAAUUAAAUCAAUGCCAGCAUCUAAGCAGUGUGCACCUUUUGACCAUAGUCUUUCUAAUUGACCAGAAGCUUAGAUGUGGAAAAUGCAAAAACUAUGCACAUUUCUGAUGGGUUUAACUUCUGAGAAAUUUUUACAAGGUUUUCCUUAUUUUAUCUGCUCCAGUAAACCUGUGGUUUCAUGAACAGGCCUAGAAUUUGAGAUUCAGCUUCUAAACUUCAAAGGUGACCUUUCAACCCAUUUGUUUAUAGACUCGGUAUUAACCUUUUGAGUUCUAGAAUAGGGUUUUAGAACUUACUUUCAUAAAAGUUUAUAUAGUCAAUUCCAUUCAUUUAUGCUAAGGACAUAGAAUAUUUCUAGAUUGCACAAUAUGUUUCUGUGGGAAUUGAAUGGAAAUCCAGGUUUCCUGACAAGAAACAAAGGAUCUUUGGGAGGCCGAGACAGGCGGAUCACGAGGUCAGGAGAUCGAGACCAUCCUGGCUAACACGGUGA